rnacentral:rRNA from 1 species
UACGUAGGGUGCAAGCGUUAAUCGGAAUUACUGGGCGUAAAGCGUGCGCAGGCGGUGAUGUAAGACAGUUGUGAAAGCCCCGAGCUUAACUUGGGAAUUGCGCUUGUGACUGGCGAGCUGGAGUGUGGCAGAGGGAGGUGGAAUUCCACGUGUAGCAGUGAAAUGCGUAGAGAUGUGGAGGAACACCGAUGGCGAAGGCAGCCUCCUGGGCCAGCACUGACGCUCAUGCACGAAAGCGUGGGGAGCAAACAGG